AUUGAACGCUGGCGGCAGGCCUAACACAUGCAUGUCGAACGAGUGGCGGACGGGUGAGUAAUGUCUGGGAAACUGCGCGAUGGCGCGGGAUAACUACUGGAAACGGUAGCUAAUACCGCAUACCAUCGGAUGUGCCCAGAGGGGCUUAGCUAGUUGGUGGGGUAACGGCUCACCUAGGCGACGAUCCCUAGCUGGUGUGAGAGGAUGACCAGCCACACGGGAACUGAGACACGGUCCAGACUCCUACGGGAGGAAGCAGUGGGGAAUAUUGCACAAUGGGCGCAAGCCUGAUGCAGCCAUGCCGCGUGUAUGAAGAAGGCCUUCGGGUUGGAAAGUACGUUCAGCGAGGAGGCGUUACUCGCAGAAGAAGCACCGGCUAACUCCGUGCCAGCAGCCGCGGUAAUUC
rnacentral:rRNA from 1 species